UGGGCGUAAAGCGUGCGUAGGCGGUUUCGUAAGUCGUGUGUGAAAGGCGGGGGCUCAACCCCCGGACUGCACAUGAUACUGCGAGACUAGAGUAAUGGAGGGGAACCGGAAUUCUCGGUGUAGCAGUGAAAUGCGUAGAUAUCGAGAGGAACACUCGUGGCGAAGGCGGGUUCCUGGACAUUAACUGACGCUGAGCACGAAGGCCAGGGAGCGAAAGGG
rnacentral:rRNA from 1 species